rnacentral:lncRNA from 1 species
UACCUGCUAGUGGGUGUCAUCAUCUUUUACCGUUUCAUGGAUCAGAUAUCUGGGAAGAGAAGUAACAGAGUGCUUCAUGCCUUGUACUUUGUUAUUGUCACAAUGACCUCAGUUGGCUAUGGGGAUCUUGUCCCAAAAAGUGACACGACAAAGCUUCUUGCUUGUGCUUUCGUCUUCACAGGAAUGGCGAUAAUUGCUCUCUUCAUCAGCAAAGCUGCGGAUUAUCUUGUUGAGAAACAGGAGGUGUUGUUCUUCAAAGCAAUGCACAUGAAUAUGAAGGGUGGUGAGGCCAAAAUGCUCAGAGCAAUGGAGACAUAUCGGAUAAAGUACAAAUUCUACACUGUCGCUCUACUUCUUGUGAUGAUUAUUGUAACUGGGAAUCUAUUUCUGUGGAAGGUUGAGAAGCCGAGCCUUGUUGAUUCCUUCUACUGUGUAUGUGCCACGAUGACUACCCUGGGUUAUGUUGAUAAAUGCUUCUCAUCCAAAUUGGGGCCCAUUUUCGCAAUAUUUUGGGUAAUCAUGAGCACUAUCCUCUUGGCUCAGUUCUUCCAGUACGUAGCUGAGCUCGCAGAAAAUGCUCGCCAAAUGGGUGCUCAACAGGAGGAUAACAACCAUGGACCUUGAGGCAGCUGAUCUGGAUGGCGAUCAUCAAGUCGGGUAAGUGCAUUAGUUAUAACUCAUUUCGUCACUCCUCUUCCAUUAGUCUAUUUUCAGAAGUGUUUGGUAUCACUAGUGCUGACGUCUGAACAUUGAUCUCUUCACACUUUCCAGUGCUGCUGAAUUUGUACUUUACAAGCUAAAAGAGCUGGGCAAGAUCAGCCAAGAGGAGAUAUCUUCUUUCCUGGAGGUGUUUGACAAACUUGAUGUUGACGGCACAAUCUCAACUUACGACCUUACUCUGGCACAAACCAGUCAAUGACUGUUGUAUGCAUAUGCAUUUGAAUUUGAUUUUGCUUUGUAAAGAUACAAAGCAACUUGACUCAAGCCUGUAAGAAACAAAUAUUGCUGGAAGUUUAUCUGAGCUUUCACACAGCGCACCCUACACGUAUCGCAUACGUGAAGUUUUUUAACUCUAUCCCUGUGGUUUCCAUGUUUCCAGCAUAUCAUGUUAAAAUUGCCGAGUAGCUGUUAUGCUCACCUGGAUAGGUGCAAACUUUUGAACUUGUUACAUUUGGCUCCAGAGCUAUCUGCAAGCAGCAAGUCUGAUGCAUCUGAUGCCCAGCAAUCAUUCAGGAAUAAAUGCAGAAAUAAACUUAUUCCGGGAUCAUGACCGGGCACAACACAUAGAACAACUGUAGUUGCAGAACAUUGAACUAAUGGGUUGCCAUCACUGCAUAAUGCCACGAGGCUAACUUUUUCUGAGAAAAUUUAAGCACAUCUAUCCAGAUUCCUGUAGUCAAAUUCCUGCGGCGAGUUACCUUCCAACCACACGAAAUACAACUUAAAAGAUAUGUUUAUUUACAUGAUCAGUCAUGUAACUACUAUACUAAACUACAUUCAGGCAACACAAGUGCAUAGCUAUAGUCAAACAAAAGAAGAUCCUAUUCAGUAAGGCACAUUCUGGACAUUACGAUUAUGGAUUAUGUCCAAUAUUAUAUAUGACUUGUUUGAUCUUCUGGGGGAUGUAUUUGUCUGAUAAACAAGAAAUGGAGCUUGCAGAUAGUGCCUCAAUCUCAAACUUGACACCCUUUUGUAACAUUGCUUCCAACUCCGACCUGCCAAAUGAGAGAGUAUACAAGUGAAUUUCAAAAGGAGAAUUCUAAGAAAGUAAAGAAAAAAAUAACUCAAAUUUUUUUAAUGUUGCUGCAUCAACAUUGAUCAUCAAGCACCCUGCCCGGUGGUGGAGUCCACUUUAAAUCAGAGUAUUCAGAUUCACACAGUCACACGUGUGAUGUUGGUGGUUUAAAUAAGUGCAGCAAGGCCAUUUUCACGUAACCUUCUGCCAGUUCUGCAAUAACAUUAGGAUGAAAAAGAUUUUCACUAUUACAGACUGUAUUUCUUGCCUUCCAUACGUGCCAAACAGUGAUAGUAAAAACGGUCGCAUCUUCAUCAGAAGAAACAGCUAGGAAAUCAACGAGCCAUUGUUUCAUCGAGACAGGGUAUUGGAUCUUACAAGUUCCACUUGAGGCCAGAGGACUUACAUUUGACCAGCCUGCUUGAGGAUGAACCCUCUUUAGCAUCUUCCUGGGAUAGCCUCAUCGAUGAUGCUACCCAGGUGGUAAUUGGUAAACGAUCCCACCUAGUCAAGAAUCGAGAUCAGGCCCUCGUGCGGUAAAAAAAAAACAGAAAUUAUUUUAUCCGGUGUCAACUGUCAAGGUGAGAGUCAACGGACCUGCGCAGCUUUUUACCAGCAGCUUCUCCCAUUAGUCCACUUCUGGAUUCUGGAGGAGCAGAACCGAAGAUGCAGAUCGGCAGUAAGGCAAUAACGUCCGCGCCCUGGUGCCAGCCUUAUCUGUUGGUCUCCCUUAAAAUAGCACGCGACAGGCACGCGCAGCUCACGUCGGCGUCGAUCUUGCCGGCCUAGCUCGAGUUGACAAAAAGGCGAGGCCGGGAUAACCGGAGACGGUGGAUGAGCCGAGGCUUGAGGCCCUGAGGGAGAGCUAGAGGAGGCGGGCGAAGAGCUCCCCUUGCCUGCAGGAUCCAAUCCGGCUUACCCGAUCUGACUCUCCCACAAGGUAAAGAAGCUCCCUGAAUUGGUCAGCCCAUCCCUUGACUUCUUGUUUGAUUGAUGCCAAAUCAGGUCUCCUUUUCGAGUUGCAAGCACUACUAGUGCUGCUUCAGUGCAUGUAUAGCUGUGAUUGUAGUGGAGAACUGAGCUUUGUUCUCAUGGAUGGGAUCAUGGGAUAGAGAGUUAGCUGGUGCAGAGUGAAUGUUGCAACAAAAUGUCUCUGCUCCUCUGUGUUCUUUAUCAUCCAACCUUGCUUGGAUAGUUGAAGUCCAUCCCAUCCCGAGGUUUUCAUGUUCACCCCAGAAGCAAUCCUCACUCGAUUUCAUGGAUUUUUUUUAAGCUACAACUAGAACCGGAGAUCCGAUCUCAGCGAGCGAGUGAGGACAGAGACUGGCAUGGGAAUCUGACCUACAAUUCUACAAAGAUAGGGACUGGUUGGGAUGAGAGGAUGACGACUCUGCCCUUCCCAUGACCAGAGGAGCCAAACGUGAAAGGGUCAGGCUUGCCUUCCCCUGCCUAUAGAAUUAGCCUUAGCACAGCCCUUACCUCAAUCUGUUAUCGGACAACGGUAUGUAUGUUCAAUUUGGGUUCGUGAUGGUAUGUCCAUUCCAAAUAACUUACCAUCUUGGUCAACCCUGUUUAUGUGUAGCACGUCUCCUGAUAAUAUGCAAGUCCCCAAAUUUCUUCCUUCUCAGACUCUCAGUUACCUAUCUCAUUAUCAUAUAUGUUAAUAUGCGCUAAAUUAUCUGAAUUUCAGGUCCUCAAACACGAUCGUAGCAGAUCCAGGCCAAGCUGAUGGCUGACGAUAGCAUUCAUCAAGCAUUCAUAGAGGAUCCUCCUAAUGUGCCAAAAGAGAAGCCAUCUGAAGGAGCUAAACGGUUUCGACGAUGCAGGUCAACUCCCGCAGAUCCCACUGAUCAAAAACCCUCAGAGCGCGGUUCUGCACUUCAAGCCAAGGAAUUAUUCAAGGAUAUACGGCCAAGCUUCAGGCUUGUAGGACUCCUCCUAUUUAUCUACCUGCUAUUGGGUGUCAUCAUCUUUUACCUUUUCAUGGAUCAGAUAUCUGGGAAGAGAACUAAUAGAGUGCUUGAUGCCAUGUACUUUGUUAUUGUCACAAUGACCUCAGUUGGCUAUGGGGAUCUUGUCCCAAAAAGUGACACGACAAAGCUGCUUGCUUGUGCUUUCGUCUUCACAGGCAUGGCGGUAAUUGCUCUCUUCAUCAGCAAAGCUGCAGAUUAUCUUGUUGAGAAACAGGAAGUGUUGUUCUUCAAAGCAAUGCACAAGAAUAUGAAGGGUGGUGAGGCCAAAAUGCUAAGAGCAAUGGAGACAAAUCGGAUAAAGUACAAAUUCUACACUGUCGCUCUACUUCUUGUGAUGAUUAUUGUCACUGGGACUCUAUUUCUGUGGAAGGUUGAGAAGCUGAGCUUUGUUGAUUCCUUCUACUGCGUAUGUGCCACGAUCACUACCCUGGGUUAUGGGGAUAAAAGCUUCUCGUCCAAAUUGGGGCGUGUUUUUGCGAUAUUUUGGAUAAUCAUGAGCACUAUCCUCAUGGCUCAGUUCUUCCUGUACCUUGCUGAGCUCUAUACCGAGCGACGGCAGAAAAUGCUCGCCAAAUGGGUGCUUAACAGGAGGAUAACAACCAUGGACCUUGAGGCAGCGGAUCUGG